rnacentral:rRNA from 1 species
AUUGAACGCUGGCGGCAGGCCUAACACAUGCAAGUCGAGCGGAUGAAGGGAGCUUGCUCCUGGAUUCAGCGGCGGACGGGUGAGUAAUGCCUAGGAAUCUGCCUGGUAGUGGGGGAUAACGUCCGGAAACGGGCGCCAAUACCGCAUACGUCCUGAGGGAGAAAGUGGGGGAUCUUCGGACCUCACGCUAUCAGAUGAGCCUAGGCCGGAUUAGCUAGUUGGUGGGGUAAAGGCCUACCAAGGCGACGAUCCGUAACUGGUCUGAGAGGAUGAUCAGUCACACUGGAACUGAGACACGGUCCAGACUCCUACGGGAGGCAGCAGUGGGGAAUAUUGGACAAUGGGCGAAAGCCUGAUCCAGCCAUGCCGCGUGUGUGAAGAAGGUCUUCGGAUUGUAAAGCACUUUAAGUUGGGAGGAAGGGCAGUAAGUUAAUACCUUGCUGUUUUGACGUUACCAACAGAAUAAGCACCGGCUAACUUCGUG